rnacentral:lncRNA from 1 species
GAGGGCCCCACGUUCUGGCAACAUGGCGAACCUGUGAACUAGGGAAGCCCUCCCAGCACAGAAAGUGCCAGGAAAAUAAAAACAAACAGAACAUUUUAAAAUUUAUGACUGUGUAAGUAGAAAAAUAAGGUGUGCUUUACCUUUACGGGCUGUAACACUCACUGUGAAGGUCUGCAGCUUCAAACCACAAACCCACCCCCGCUGGGAGGAAUGAACAACUUCAGACGGGCAGAGCAAACAACUCCAGAGGGGCCGCCUUAAGAGCUGUAACACUUAAUGGGAAGGUCUGCAGCUUUACUCCUGAAGCUAGCAAGACCACAAACCCACCAGAAGGAAGAACCUUUGAACAGGUCCGAACAUCAGAAGGAACAAGCUCUGGAUAUGCUGUCUUUAAGAACUGUAACACUCACGGCGAGGGUCUGCAACUUCAUUCUUGAAGUCGGUGAGACCAAGAACCCACCAUUUCCAGACACGGUACUAAUGAGUGUGACGUAGUAUCUCAUUGUGGUUGUGAUUUGCAUUUCUCUAAUAAUUAGUGAUGUUGAGCAUCUUUUAAUGUGGUUUGUUGGCCAGUUUUAGGUCAUCUUUGGAAAAUUGUCUAUUCAAGCUGUUUGCCCAUUUUCUAAUCAGGUUGCUAUUUUGUGAUUGUUGACACAUGUGUGCUUUGAAAUGACACAAAGAACAUAAGUUAAUGGAGAAAUCUGGUGAUCUUUUUCCCCUUAAGUGAUUGAUACAUACGCCUAAAAUCUGGGGGCUGAAGUUAGGGAGUAUGUACUAGUAGAAAAGAAUAAAAGGGGUAUUUUGAAGUUUUAUUUAAUAUGGGAUUUCUCAACCUCAGUACAACCAACAUUUGAAAGAGAACAGUUCUUUGUGGUGGGGGCUUUUCUGUGUGCUGAGAGGUGUCUGUGAGAUUACAAAUGGCAGUCCAGCCACCAGAUGCCCCAGCUCUGGUCAUUGCCGCAUGUUCUAAGAUAGGCAGAAUUGCCUGUGGUGGAAAACCACUGACUUUACGGUUUUGUGCAAGGACCAGGAGUAGUUGUGUCACCAAAGUCUUGGUCUUGUUAUUCUGGAUGUUAUCCAGCACUGUCAGGCUUCUCCUUUACCACCCAAACAAUACUGCACAAUAGAGCGAAGGUGAUCUUGUGUGCUAAAUCGCCUUCUGAAGAUUCGCUGUUGGUUAAAUUUCUGGGAUACAAAUGGCUUUAGGGGAAAAUGUUGAUAUUUUAGAUGACUUUAAAUGUUAUUUCUGCUGUAAAAAUCUUAUCAAGACGUUAUUCAAAGCCUACCCACAUGCAGAUACAAUUUUUUUCACAAAACAACUAGCUUGAUAUUAUUUUGAUUCUAUUUCACAUGUGUGCUGUACUCUAAGAAUAUAAAAAUAAAAUAUCUCUCUCUAGACCAUUUAUAAAUACCCUUUAAAAAACGAACACUAGGUAGUUGCUUUAGAAUUUUGGCAUGAACACAUAUUCUUUAAAAAUGACAACAAAAACUCUCUUUUCAAUUUUUCUCUGGUGCUUACUUUAGCAAAUUGUCUAUAGUUUACCA